rnacentral:lncRNA from 1 species
CUUUAAUGCUAGAUGCAGUUUUAUAACACACUGUGGCUCAACUUAAGUUUGUCAAAUGACAAGAGAAAAUGCAUGUUGAUUUUUCAACUCUGGCUAUAUUUUCAUGCUUGAGCUGACCCCUUCAUUGUAUUUUUAUUUUCUUUUUUCAUUCCUUACACAUACAGAAUGUAAAUAGUUUUAAUAUCAGCCUAAGUAUCACCUGACUUAGAGAGCCAGUUUACCAUCAAAAAUAAUGUAUCUUUUGCUUGAUGACUUGUGAUGUAGAAAAAAAGAAAAAGAAAUGUUUUAUCCUAAAAGAAAAAAAAAAGGGAGUGAGGGAUUUCAUGUUUUGACUGUCUGCAUCACUUAGAGGAGUCCACUGGUCCAGAUAAAAAAAGAGUAUGCUGGUAUAUUACUGCAUCAAGGAUGAACAAAGAUGGCAAGCAAAGUAAGUUUCCAAAACCAUUUAUCCCUAACUUACUCUAUGAGGAUGAAAUUCUGAAUGAUUCAUCUUACAAUCAAGAAAUUGCCAUUGUUAGUUGGGUGUGGUGGCUACCCUCCCCAGUGGGAAGAUCGCUUGAGCCCAGGAGUUUGAGCUGCAGUGAGCUACGAUUGUGCCACUACACUCCAGCCUGGGCAAUAGAGCAAGACCCCAUCUAUAAAUUUUAAAAAAGAAAGAAAAGAAAUUGCCAUUGAUUGUAUAGUAACACAAGGGUUCUCAGACCAGCAACAUCAGCACCAACUGGGAACUUGUUAAAAAUGCAAAUUCACAAGCCCACCUGGACCUACUCAAUCGGAAGCCUGGGGGUGGAGCACAGCAGUCCAUGUUUUAACAAGCCCUCCAGAUGAUUAUGAUGCUCACUCAAGUUUGAAAAUCACUGAACGAAGUCAAGAAUACAGUGGGAAAAAAAUACCUAGCACUCUGAGAACUUUAUUAGAAUGUAUUUUUAAAAAAUUGAUCCAAAAUAUUAUGACAUAGUCUUCAUGUAAUGAAUUCUUUCAUAGGACAACUAUGAUACAUAGUAAUGGUCUACAAGGAAAUAAAACCUAUAAACUGAUCCACAGAGUAGGUUUACUGGUACCAAAGGUUAGCAUUCAUUCUUCACUGUAUUUUUAUGAUCCUUUUUCAUUAAUAUUGCACCUGAGUUGCUCUGGCAAAGAUUUCCUGCACCAUUAGGUAUACAAAAGUGGUAGUUAUUACCAAUUAUUUGCUGAAAUAAAAUUAGCAGUAAUCACCACCAAAACUUUUACUGUUUUUCUCCCAUUGUUAAUUACAAUAUCCUAAGAACCACAUAUAAUGUAUCGAGCCCUUGUAAAGCUAACGAAUAAACCAAUUACAUCUUUUGCAUGAAGGAGAAAUUCCAUGUUAAAACUCAAAAACUUAUUAUUUAUUUUUUGAGACAGAGUCUUAUUU